UGUGGCGGUAUAGUUUGAUAUUGUUGCAGUCAACUGAUAGUAAACAUGCCUUCUCCUUGCGAACCCUGCAAAGAUACAUGUAAAGACGGGAACUGCGAGGACAACUGCACAUGCAAGGACAAGGGUUGUGACGACUGCACUUCUAAAGGUGGUUGCUGUUAGUGACAAUGGACGUAGUACGCGCUCGUCGGCGGCCCUCACUGUUCUCUCGCGUUAGUGCCGUGCUUGAAACAUGCUUCCCUGUCUCAUUUACAGUCGUCUUUCUCAUAACUAUUGUAUUGUUUUAUUGCUUCAUAUAAAUGUUAUGUUGAU